AUACGGAGGAUGCGAGCGUUAUCCGGAUUUAUUGGGUUUAAAGGGUGCGUAGGCGGACGAUUAAGUCAGCUGUGAAAUGCCCGCGCUUAACGCGGGAAGUGCAGUUGAUACUGGUUUCCUUGAGUACGGUACAGGUGGGCGGAAUUCGUGGUGUAGCGGUGAAAUGCUUAGAUAUCACGAAGAACUCCGAUCGCGAAGGCAGCUCACCGGGCCGGAACUGACACUGAUGCUCGAAAGUGCGGGUAUCAAACAGGAUUAGAUACCCUGGUAGUCCGCACAGUAAACGAUGAAUACUCGCUGUUUGCGAUACACGGUAAGCGGCCAAGCGAAAGCGUUAAGUAUUCCACCUGGGGAGUACGCCGGCAACGGUGAAACUCAAAGGAAUUGACGGGG
rnacentral:rRNA from 1 species